CUCCCUCGUCCCUGUGGGCCCCAUCUCGUCCUGGCCGUGCUUCCACGUGUGCAAUGACCUGCCUGCUGUCCGUGGCACCAUGGUGACUUCACUGGACGCAGCAUGCUUUUGGCCAGCAGUGUGACCCCAUGAGCCGCCCUCUGUGCCUAGCACGCAGGAGCUGGUCUCUCUGCAUAACCCGCCUCCAGCAUCUCUCUUCUGUUCCCUCCAUCAGGUGCAGAGAAGGAGAAAUCUUUAUAAAGACUUCUAUAUCAAGGACUGAGAGAUUUCCAACCCUUUAAAAGGGGGAGGAGAAGAUAGGUUAUUUGGAAAUCAUGAAUUUGUAGGGGCUCCACAAGUGCCACUUAGGAAUUAGGGACAGGCAGGACAAUUUGUAUUAAGAAAUGACACUAAUUUUUAGCCAACAUGUUCAUGAAAUGAGACCUGAUAUUUUGCCAAAGUAAAUAAAUGGAUAAAUAAAGUUUA